GGGGGUUUUGCAUCGAGACCUCCCCAAAAAACUCCUUUUUAAAUCCUUAAAAACCUCCUAAAAUGCGACAAAAUGAGGGGAAAAAAUGAGGGGGAAAAAGGAAUAAAAAAGGGAAUUUGAGGUUCAGAUUGAAAAACCUCCCCAAAAAACCAUCUUUUAAUAACAUGAAAUCUCUCCCCCCACACAAAAAAACCCCCAACUUUAAAUCCUUAAAAACUCCUAAAAUGCAGCGAAAUGACCCCAAAAACGGGGGGGAAAAGUGGGAAAAAUAAGAAAUAAAGAGAAUUAUGGAGAAUAAAAAGCAGAUUUAAGAGUUUUGGGGGAUUUUUGGGUGAUUUUAGGGCUGUUUCAGACGACCAUCUCCAGCUGCCCGCCCUGGGUGUCUCUGGGCUGGUUUUAAGUUAAUUUUGAGGUCAUUUUGGGGUAAUUUUGGGUGAUUUUAAUGCCAUUUCAGACGAUCAUCUCCAGCUGCCCGCCCUGGGUGUUUCUGGGCUGGUUUUAAGUUAAUUUUGAGGUCAUUUUGGGGUGAUUUUGGGUGAUUUUAGAGCCAUUUCAGACGAUCAUCUCCAGCUGCCCGCCCUGGGUGUUUCUGGGCUGGUUUUAAGUUAAUUUUGAGGUCAUUUUGGGGUAAUUUUGGGUGAUUUUAGAUGCCAUUUCAGACGAUCAUCUCCAGCUGCCCGCCCUGGGUGUCUCUGGGCUGGUUCUGGGUUAAUUUUGGGUGAUUUUGGGUGUUUUUAGAGCCAUUUCAGACGAUCAUCUCCAGCUGCCCGCCCUGGGUGUUUCUGGGCUGGUUUUAAGUUAAUUUUGAGGUCAUUUUGGGGUAAUUUUGGGUGAUUUUAGAGCCAUUUCAGACGAUCAUCUCCAGCUGCCCACCCUGGGUGUCUCUGGGCUGGUUUUAAGUUAAUUUUGAGGUCAUUUUGGGGUGAUUUUGGGUGAUUUUAGAGCCAUUUCAGACGAUCAUCUUCAGCUGCCCGCCCUGGGUGUCUCUGGGCUGGUUCUGGGCUGAUUUUGGGGUAUUUUGGGGUAAUUUUGGGUGGUUUUUGGGUGAUUUUAAAGCCAUUUCAGACGAUCAUCUCCAGCUGGCGGGCGUACUCGAUGACCUGGGUGGCCAGUUCGGUGGAGGGGAUGGGGGGGUCCUCGGUUUUCUGCUGCCUCCCCCCAAAGCUGUAGUAGUUGGAGGGGCCCAGCACCCACCCCCGCUGGGGAAAGGGAAAAAAAAGGUGUUAA